rnacentral:lncRNA from 1 species
GCCGCCAUGUUUGGGACGCGCCACGUGCGAGUGAGGGAGUCGUGCAGGGACCGAGGCCGGGCGGACAGGGGACGAGGAUGGCCACCCCGACCCCCGAGCGCGCCGCCAUUGGGGUGUCUUGCAAGUUUCCCGCCCCAUCCACCAGCGGUGAGCGUCUGGGACCUGCACUCCCGACCAGAUGAGGUCUGCAGCAGACAGAGGAACCAGAACAUUCCCCAAGUUCACAGGACAAAGCAGAUUACAGAGGAGCAGACCUACCUUUCUGAGGAGGAGCUCUGGAAGUUCAACAGCUCAGCCUGACAGAUGGCGAAAGCUAUGACAGCCGCUACAGGUGAAUGCCAGUUCAGGUCACACCCAGGUCACACUGGUGAUUAUCCUCAAGAGGUAAAACACUCCAUUGUCUAUGGGAACACAAUUUCCAUAUUCCCC